CCUUUGUACACACCGCCCGUCGCUAGUACCGAUUGAAUGGCUUAGUGAGACCUCCGGAUGGGCGGCUCGAUGGUGGCAACACUGUUGGGCUGGCGAAAAGCUGGUCAAACUUGGUCAUUUAGAGG
rnacentral:rRNA from 1 species